UACGUAGGGAGCAAGCGUUGUCCGGAAUUACUGGGCGUAAAGGGCGCGUAGGCGGGAAUGCAAGUCAGAUGUGAAAACUCCGGGCUCAACUUGGAGAUUGCAUUUGAAACUGUGUUUCUUGAGGGCAGGAGAGGAAAGUGGAAUUCCUAGUGUAGCGGUGAAAUGCGUAGAUAUUAGGAGGAACACCAGUGGCGAAGGCGACUUUCUGGACUGUACCUGACGCUGAUGCGCGAAAGCGUGGGUAGCAAACGGG
rnacentral:rRNA from 1 species